ACCGAUAGUGAGGUUGAGAAUAUGCCAUUGGCUCAGUCUCUUAUUACAGCUUUAUGUGACUUGUUAUUUUGCCCAGAUUUCACAGUUUCGGCAAGCAAAAAGGCUGGUCCUGU